AAACAAGGCAUUAUAUGUCCUCAAUUUUUUAAAUAGGCUGCAUGAGGAUGUUUCACCUGUUGGACAUCAUUUUGGAGCUGGAAAAUUAAAAACGGGGGAAGCUAAGGAGCAGGUCCAAGAUGGAUACCGUCCAGACUAGUGAGGAUCCACCAAGAAGUUUCCCUCCCAGCUCAACCAGCAGCAGAUCCAGCACCAACGAAUUCAGCACCAACUACAGGAAGCGAUCCCUCAUCAGCAUCAUCUUCGGGAUAAUCCUGUUUUUUGCGUGCAGCAUAACACCAGCAAAUCAGAAAGACUUAAUGUCAGGAGCCCUUGCCACACCUCCUCCAACAAUUCCAAAUUGGGUAAUGCUCUCUGGCCAAAAUGUUUGGCUAAACCUGGCACAAUCACUAAAUACUGACUCUAUCUGUCUCUCUACCUUAGAUCCCUCUCACCCUUUUAAGACCUGUCUGGUAGGAAUCCCCUGGACACCCAGAGAAUGGGGUGAUUUUAGAAAUCAGUAUAUCCCCUGGUGUGAUGACCACGAUCAGUUCAAGAAUCCAUUCUUGGACUGUCUCACAAGACCAGCAAAAACUUCACAUGACAGACAGACAUUUAGCUAUCAGUGGCAGAGACCUGAGGAAUUAGAAAUCUUGGGGAGUAUUGUAUCUCCUCUCUGUUUUUACUUCAUUCACAACAAAUAUGUUGCCCCUCCUGAAUUAAUUAAUGUCACCUCUUAUGGACCUUAUUCCAAUUUCAGUUUCUGGUGCAAGGAAGAGGUUCCUUACCAGAUACAUGCUACCCCUGAUUCGGUUAUUCUUCCAAAAGGAGUCUUUUUAAUUUGUGGACUUAGAGUCUGGAAUAUGAUUCCUAGAUUAGCUGCUGGAGGCCCCUGCACAUUUGGAAAAUUAACACUGUACAAUCCAGCUACCCUUAUGAAAUCUUUACCUGUAAGGCCUCCCAAAAA